rnacentral:rRNA from 1 species
AUAGAACGCUGGCGGAAUGCUUUACACAUGCAAGUCGAACGGCAGCACGGGGGCAACCCUGGUGGCGAGUGGCGAACGGGUGAGUAAUACAUCGGAACGUGCCCAGUCGUGGGGGAUAACGUAGCGAAAGUUACGCUAAUACCGCAUACGAUCUACGGAUGAAAGCGGGAGACCGUAAGGCCUCGCGCGAUUGGAGCGGCCGAUGUCAGAUUAGGUAGUUGGUGAGGUAAAGGCUCACCAAGCCGACGAUCUGUAGCUGGUCUGAGAGGACGACCAGCCACACUGGGAAUGAGACACGGCCCAGACUCCUACGGGAGGCAGCAGUGGGGAAUUUUGGACAAUGGGCGCAAGCCUGAUCCAGCCAUUCCGCGUGCAGGACGAAGGCCUUCGGGUUGUAAACUGCUUUUGUACGGAACGAAAAGGCUCUGGUUAAUACCUGGGGCUCAUGACGGUACCGUAAGAAUAAGCACCGGCUAACUACGUGCCAGCCGCCGCCGUAA